AUUGAACGCUGGCGGCAGGCCUAACACAUGCAAGUCGAACGAGUGGCGGACGGGUGAGUAAUGUCUGGGACACUGCCUGAUGGAGGGGGAUAACUACUGGAAACGGUAGCUAAUACCGCAUACCCUCAGAUGUUGCCAUAUGGGAUGAGCUAGUUGGUUGGGUAACGGCUCACCAAGGCGACGAUCCCGAGCUGGGCUGAUAUGAGGACCAGCCACACUGGAAAUGAGAACAGGUCCAGAACCCUACGGGAGUCAGCAGGGGGGAAUCUUGCACAAUGGGCGCAAGCCUGAUGCAGCAAUGCCGCGUGGAUGAAGAAGGUCUUCGGGUUGUAAAGUACUUUCAGCGGGGAGGCGUUACCCGCAGAAGAAGCACCGGCUAACUCCGUGCCAGCAGCCGCGGUAAUUC
rnacentral:rRNA from 1 species